GAUCUCCUGGGGCUUCGCUCUGUACUGUGAGUAGUGAUCACACUGAGGCUCCGUGCAUCACAGGAAAUCACAGAAACAGGGCACGUCAGAUCCGGGACGGUUGGGAGUGAGGGGCCGAUGCUGGACACUGUAGGCACGCGGGAAUGUGAAGUUGAAUACAUCACUGUGAUUGAUGCACUAUUUCCAGGAUGUGGAGUAGCAUUUCCGGACUAUAAAGACGUUGUAAUAAGGCACAUAUUUCCGGACUUACAGCAAGAAGUUGGAUGAAGGCAUAAACCCUCGAAUCACGCACAUACACAGUCACUUUGCCCAAAUUCUAGAGGUAACCUCCUUUAGUAUGCCCAGAGGAAGGGCAAUACAGUAGCCAUGGAUUCCCUACAGGUUUCCUCCCCUCUGGAGGUUUUUCCUGUCCUGAGUUAGUUACUGUACGCUCUUUGUGAGUGAUGGAAGGUUACAAAAAUCCCUACACAAACAUUUUAAUAAAUAAUAAAGUUCCCCUGUUUUUAAAACGUUCUUUGA